rnacentral:rRNA from 1 species
GCCUAACACAUGCAAGUCGAACGAAGUAGCAAUACUUAGUGGCAGACGGGUGAGUAACAUGUAGGUAUCUACCCUUUGGCCUGGAAUAACACGAGGAAACUUGUGCUAAUACCGGAUAAGUCUUUACGGAGAAAGCUUUAUGCACCAUUGGAUGAGCCUGCACUUGAUUAGUUUGUUGGUGGGGUAAUGGCCUACCAAGACUGUGAUCAAUAGCUGAUUUGAGAGGAUGAUCAGCCACAUUGGGACUGAGACACGGCCCAAACUCCUACGGGAGGCAGCAGUGGGGAAUCUUGCACAAUGGAGGAAACUCUGAUGCAGCGAUGCCGCGUGAGUGAAGAAGGCCCUUGGGUUGUAAAGCUCUUUCGUCGGGGAAGAAAAUGACUGUACCCGAAUAAGAAGGUCCGGCUAACUUCGUGCCAGCAGCCGCGGUAAUACGAAGGGACCUAGCGUAGUUCGGAAUUACUGGGCUUAAAGAGUUCGUAGGUGGUUGAAAAAGUUGGUGGUGAAAUCCCAGAGCUUAACUCUGGAACUGCCAUCAAAACUUUUCAGCUAGAGUAUGAUAGAGGAAAGCAGAAUUUCUAGUGUAGAGGUGAAAUUCGUAGAUAUUAGAAAGAAUACCAAUUGCGAAGGCAGCUUUCUGGAUCAUUACUGACACUGAGGAACGAAAGCAUGGGUAGCGAAGAGGAUUAGAUACCCUCGUAGUCCAUGCCGUAAACGAUGUGUGUUAGACGUUGGAAAUUUAUUUUCAGUGUCGCAGCGAAAGCGAUAAACACACCGCCUGGGGAGUACGACCGC